GGGGAAUUUUCCGCAAUGGGCGAAAGCCUGACGGAGCAAUGCCGCGUGGAGGAAGACGGCCCGUGGGUUGUAAACUCCUUUUCUCAGAGAAGAAGCUCUGACGGUAUCUGAGGAAUAAGCAUCGGCUAACUCCGUGCCAGCAGCCGCGGUAAUACGGAGGAUGCAAGCGUUAUCCGGAAUCAUUGGGCGUAAAGCGUCUGUAGGUGGCUUUGUAAGUCCGCUGUGAAAGAGUACAGCUUAACUGUAACUAGGCAGCGGAAACUACGAGGCUGGAGUGUGGUAGGGGUAGAGGGAAUUCCCGGUGUAGCGGUGAAAUGCGUAGAUAUCGGGAAGAACACCAACGGCGAAAGCACUCUGCUGGGCCAACACUGACACUGAGAGACGAAAGCUAGGGUAGCCAAUGGGAUUAGAUACCCCAGUAGUCCUAGCCGUAAACGAUGGAUACUAAGUGGUGCGCGUUUUUAUGCCUGCACUGCUGUAGCUAACGCGUUAAGUAUCCCGCCUGGGGAGUAUGCUCGCAAGGGUGAAACUCAAAGGAAUUGACGGGGGCCCGCACAAGCGGUGGAGCAUGUGGUUUAAUUCGAUGCAACGCGAAGAACCUUACCAGGGCUUGACAUACUGUGAAUUUUUCAGAGAUGAGAAAGUGCCUUCGGGAACACAGAUACAGGUGGUGCAUGGCUUCUCAGCUC
rnacentral:rRNA from 1 species